rnacentral:misc_RNA from 1 species
AUGCGAUAAGUAAUGUGAAUUGCAGAAUUCAGUGAAUCAUCGAAUCUUUGAACGCACCUUGCGCUCCUUGGUAUUCCGAGGAGCAUGCCUGUUUGAGUGUCAUUAAAUUCUCAACCUCACCUGUUUUGUAAUGAGACAGGUGAAGGCUUGGAUGUGGGGGUUUUGCAGGCUGCCUCAGUGCUGGUCUGCUCCUCUGAAAUGCAUUAGCGAGCUUAUACUGAGCUUCCGUCUAUUGGUGUGAUAAUUAUCUACGCCGUGGAUUUGGACUCGUGCUUGCUUCUAACCGUCUGCAAGGACAAUUUAUGACCAAUUUGACCUCAAAUCAGGUAGGACUACCCGCUGAACUUAA